UUAUUUUCUUCCCCCGUACGCCUCUCUCUCUCCCGUUCUCUCCUCUCUCUCGGCUCUCACCUCUCUCACCUUCUCUCUUCGAUUUCAUCGACCGCGAGUGAGACUUUUGAAAAAUAUCAAGUACUAAAGUUGUUCUACGCGACGAGAGCUUCCUAUCCAUCGAAGAAAAUUCACGAUCGGAGCACUUCGAAAUUUCCUCCAUGUUCGGGCUUGCUUCUAACCUUCGAGGAAGUUCGAGUCGUCACGUGGAUCGAGGUGAGUGAUUUAAUACUUAAACACAUGGUUUUGAACUUGUUUUCCUUAUCGAGCUUAUUUGAACAUGUUUUAUAAAUUAUGUACUCCAUGGAUAACAAUGAAAGGUGGACUUAUUUGUGAAAUAUUUGCGAAUCUAUUUAAUGGCAUUCCCAACGUCCGGUCUUGCUAGGGGACGGCUUAAUGGCUAGCAAGGGUGUUUGAGGUUGGUAUUUGUUUUGGGAUAAUGCGUAGACGUCUGGCUUAUCCACUACUGGGGACGCCCGGUAGCUUUUGAAUUUUGAAUAGCGGAAUGUGCAUUAUAUUUGGCUUAUGAUUUUGAGUUCUUUGUUUUGAAAUAUUAUCAAAUUAUUUUGCAUUGUCCAUGGAAGGCAUGUGAGUUAAGUAUUAAUCAUUCACACGAGCUUUGGCUUAAGUAUUUUCUUUUCCACCUUUCAGGAAGCGACGCGUAGUGUGGCAGAGUGUUUACUUUAGUUUGUAAAUUUGUAGGUAAGCACAGCUCUGAGAGGAUUAUCCUUUUGGUUUGUAAACCUAUGUAAGACUUUGGUUUGUUAUCAAUAAAAGUUAACUUUUGCUUC